AGAGUUUGAUCCUGGCUCAGAUUGAACGCUGGCGGCAUGCCUAACACAUGCAAGUCGAACGGAAACGAUGGAAGCUUGCUUCCAGGCGUCGAGUGGCGGACGGGUGAGUAAUACUUAGGAAUCUGCCCAGUAGUGGGGGACAACUCGAGGAAACUCGAGCUAAUACCGCAUACGCCCUACGGGGGAAAGCGGAGGACUCUUCGGAGCUUCGCGCUAUUGGAUGAGCCUAAGUCGGAUUAGCUUGUUGGUGAGGUAAAAGCUCACCAAGGCGACGAUCCGUAGCUGGUCUGAGAGGACGAUCAGCCACACUGGGACUGAGACACGGCCCAGACUCCUACGGGAGGCAGCAGUGGGGAAUAUUGGACAAUGGGGGAAACCCUGAUCCAGCAAUGCCGCGUGUGUGAAGAAGGCCUGCGGGUUGUAAAGCACUUUCAGUAGAGAAGAAAAGCUCAGGGAUAAUACCCCUGAGUCUUGACGUAACCUACAGAAGAAGCUCCGGCUAACUCCGUGCCAGCAGCCGCGGUAAUACGGGGGGAGCGAGCGUUAAUCGGAAUUACUGGGCGUAAAGCGCGCGUAGGCGGCUUUGUAAGUCGGAUGUGAAAGCCCUGGGCUCAACCCAGGAAUUGCAUUCGAUACUGCAUGGCUAGAGUAUGGUAGAGGGAAGUGGAAUUUCCGGUGUAGCGGUGAAAUGCGUAGAUAUCGGAAGGAACACCAGU
rnacentral:rRNA from 1 species